GUUGCCUGCAAGAUGUAGGACUCUCAGC
rnacentral:piRNA from 1 species